rnacentral:lncRNA from 1 species
UUAUCUUCAGGUCUCUAAUGUAUUUCUUUUGUUUUUCUUUUCGUAUUAGGAUCAGCUCACUGAUUGAAAACUUUGGCAGUUACUCUCGAGUACGAGGUAGCAUAAAUGACGACUGGGUUGAUCGCCUUAACCAUCUUUAUACUGUCGUGUUAUUGGUCAUCUUUGCGGUCAUAAUUAGCACAGGUCAGUAUGUCGGAGAUGCUAUUCAAUGUUGGUGCCCGGCCGAGUUCACAGAUGCCUUUGUCGACUACACCAAAUCCUACUGUUGGAUUGCCAACACUUACUACAUACCGAUGACAGACGUUAUACCAGUUGAAAUUCGCAAGCGAGAGGACAAACAAAUAACUUACUACCAGUGGGUGCCACUAAUAUUACUGUUUCAAGCAUUCAUGUUUAAAUUUCCAAAUAUACUUUGGACAUCAACGCACGAAUUAUCAGGAUUAAACCUUGAUAAAAUUGUGUCAAUGGCUGAAGAGACUCAGUUAGGUUCCCCAGAUGAUCGUGAGGAAACCAUUAAAAACAUAGCUCAUUUUCUCACACGCUGGCUUGAAGCUUAUCGUGAAUAUAAACUCAAUUUCCUUGUUAAACUACGACAAAGAUCAUCGAGGAUGUGUUGCUUUCUGUGUUCCCGUCGCCAGGGUACUUUUCUUACUGGCCUCUAUGUUUUUGUGAAAAUGCUCUACGUGGCUAAUGUAAUUGGCCAAUUUUUCCUUCUGAAUGCUUUUAUGGCAACCGAUUAUACUGUUUACGGACUGGAAGUGUUAAAUUCUUUAGCCAGUAAUACUGUUUGGCAAGAAAGUCCACGUUUCCCUAGAGUAACACUGUGUGACUUGCAAAUUCGUCAAUUACAAAAUCUUCAAAGAUACACCGUUCAAUGUGUUUUACCAAUCAAUUUAUUUAACGAAAAAAUAUUCAUCUUUUUGUGGUUUUGGUUUGUGUUUGUCGCUGCAUGUUCAUGCAUUAAUCUUUUGUCCUGGUUCUAUCGCUUCAUUUUCUCCCAGGCUCAUAUUGAUUAUGUCACUAAAUACAUUCGAUGGUGGGAUUCCAUCCAGACAAAACAGGACAGAAAACUAUGUCAAAAAUUUACGAAGGAGUAUCUUCGAGACGAUGGUUUUUUGGUCCUACGUGUUAUAGCAAAGAAUUCUACAGAUUUAGUUGCCGGAGACUUAUUACAUUAUCUGUGGAAGGCUUAUAAGGAAAAGAAUGAAGUGAAGAAUAAAGAACCAGCAGAUGUUGGUUCUAAUGUUCAUACUUAACAUGAGAGCUUCGCUUGGAAAACGCAAGUGAAGGAGCAUGUUAUCGCUAUAAACAUCAUGGAAUGAACAGAUAUUUCCUCUUUACAGAAAAAUUGUCUUCAACGAAAGGAAGCAUGCGCAUAAAAUUCGUAAAAGGUGAAAAACUCAAGCAAAAUAUGGAAUGUAUUUGAAAAGUCUAAUUUAUCGAUAUACGAUAAAAGAAAACCUGUUGUGAAGCAUGUCUGAGAUUCAUAUGAUGUCUCCUGAAGUUCUGCUCUACUUAUUAUUCACUUCUUCAAACAUACUCAGCCCAUCAAAAGAUCCACAAAAAUUGUCUUUUUUCUUCAGAAACUACAAUAAUAUCGCUUUCUUUUUCCCACUCUUCAUAUGCUCUUUAUUUUUUAACAACCCAAUAUAACAGAGGUUUCUCCAUUUAACAGAAAAAUGAAAUCUCUCAUUAUUCUAAUUUGGGAUCACAACCUACCCCUUUCAUGUCAAUGUAAACUCCGGAAUUAAAAAAAAAAAUUUUAAAUUGAUUAAUUUCUAGAUCACAUCUUUCAUUUACUCUAUUAAUAUAUUUCUUUUCUUUCAUUCUGUAUUUUCCCUUUUCACUCUUUUCGAGUGAUUUAUGUUAAAUAUUAAAAACAUAAUUUAAAAUAAUUCCCUUCAGAGAAUAUAAUCUUUAUGUAGCGAAGAAUCAGCUUGGCUGACAAGCUUUGUUAAUUAAUUUUAGCUUCAUCAGCUUUCAAUAAUAUUAAUAAAAGCUUCAUCAGACUAAUUCAUUUAAUAAUUCUGCUUAAUGCUGCUAGCAGCCGCAGCAUUUAUUAAUAAGAAUGACUUCAGACUUCAGAUCCUGAAGAAGUCGGUUUGAUCUCAGUUGGGAGAUGAGAUAUUGCACCAUUACUUUAUCUGCUUGGGAAGUAGGGAUUAUUCAAUAAUAUCCCGUAAAUUCAUGGCUACUGCCAAUUAUGAAAUUAAAAAAAAAAGGAUUAAUAAGCAGUAAAAGCAAAUAAUCCACCAAGGAAGUGCUGUAUUUCUUAGGUCCCUAACCUAAACGUACCAACUACUUUAAGGCUUCUAAAAGGUUCUUGGAUUAUUCUUUUAUAUCACCGUUUACAUCUUCUUCUUCUUCUUCUUCUUCGUCUUCUUCUUCUUCAUUAUUAUUAUUAUUAUUAUUAUUAUUAUUAUUAUUAUUAUAAUUAUUAUUAUUAUUAUUAUUAUUAUUAUUAUUAUUAUUAUUAUUAUUAUUAUUAAGGCGGUGAGCUGGCAGAAUCGUUAGCACGCCGGGCGAAAUGCUUAGUGGUAUUUCGUCUGCCGUUACGUCCCGAGUUCAAAUUCCGCCGAGGUCGACUUUACCUUUCAUCCUUUCGGUGUCGAUAAAAUUAGUACCAGUUACGCACUGGGGUUGAUGUAAUCGACUAUCCCAUUCCUCCAAAUUUGAGGUCUUAUGCUUCCAGUAUUAUUAUUAUUAUUAUUAUUAUUAUUAUGAUUAUUAAGGCAGCGUGCUGGCAGAAUCGUUAGCACACCGGGCAAAAUGCUAGGCGGUAUUUCGUCCGCCUUUACGUUCUGAGUUGAAAUUCCGCUGAGGUCGAUUUUGCCUUUCAUUCUUUUGGGGUUGAUAAAUUAAGUACCUGUGAAGCACUGGGGUAGACUGUUCUCCUCCCCCAAAAUUUCAGCUCUUGUGCUUUUAGUAGAAAGAAUUAUUUAAGAAAUUAGUGUUUUAAAAAUAGUUGGGUUUAAUUAGAAACUAGAGGCAGGAUGAAAAUAAACACACAGGACACCACUAUCAGAUAGUAAUUAUAAUAAUUAUUUUCACAAACUCUACUACAACCCAAUAAAAUAACAUAACUCUCAUAGCAAAUCGUCUGCAUGACAGCUGAAAUAUUAAAUCAACUCCAUAAACAAAGUAACGAAACUGCAUAACAGAGCAAAACAGUUAUGCUAACUCAAACACAACUUUACACAACCAAAAUACAACUCUGCUAGCACCACAGUCACAUAGAAGUCCAUUUGAUGGAGUGGCAAAAACUUGUGUGAAACAUGUUGAAAACAUAAUAAUAAUAGUAAUAAUAAUAAUAAUAAUAAUAGUAGAAGUAGUAGUAAUAAUGAUAAUAAUAAUAAUAAUAAUAAUAAUAAUAAGGAUGAUGAUAAUAAUAAUUACAUAAACAAUAAAUUAUCAAUUAGUGAUGUCAGUUAUAUUAACGUGUCCCAGUUUCACAUCAACGAAGUAGUCUAUUUUAUUGCUGAUUAUUAAACACAUAUCUUGGUUACGACUUCCAUAAAUGCCAGUUAAGCUUCUUCGGCUUAUCAAACAUCUAAAUUUAUUAUUUUCUUAAACUGAGUCUGAUAACAAAUAAGGGGGAAAAAAACCCAAACAAAAUCCCACCAAAACACAAAACUGCUUCAUAAAUCGACCAAGCAUUUAAAUCUAUAUCGUUUAACAUCGCUACGUUUGACAUGUAAAAAAGAUGCCCCACUCUUACUUUCAAAAGCACACGUAUACACUCACGGACACAUGCAUGCAAUCACAUGUACGACCUAUAUAUACAUGCAUGCAUACGUACGUACAUACAUACAUACAUACAUACAUACAGACAGACAGACAGACAGACAGACAGACACAUGUGUGUAUAGGAAGUUAAACGUUAUGGCUGGCCAUUGGUUUUGCAUCCAUGAAGCGCUUUGUAGUAUGGGCGAUUCGUCAGACUCAAAUCGCCGAAGUCACUUAUACUGCUAAGCGCCUUAUAGGUGCAAAACCAAGGGCCGGCCACUCUAUCACCGGCCAUAACAUCUAACUUCCUAAAAAAAUAUAUGUUACUGCUCUCACGCUUUAUAGUGUGUUUCUUUUUCGUGUAUAUGAACCACUGACGGUUUAUAUAUAUAUAUAUAUAUAUAUAUAUAUAUAAAUGCAUUAUAUAUGUAUAUAGGUAUGUAAGUAUAUAAUAUUUAUAUAUGUGUAUAAUAUAUAGAUAUAUAAUGCAUAUAUACAUAAAUGCACACACUCACACAUACAGACACAUACAUAUAUAUUCACACACGUAUACAUGAUAUUUCAUUUACGCAAACAACCACAUCUUUAAGCGGCCUAAUUAUACAUUUUUUUAAAUAUAAAUGCUCUCUAUUUUUUUAUUUUUCAAAAUUCAAUGAGAGGUUAAAAUCUUAAUUUUGUUUUGAUUCAAUUUUGCUUUACU